rnacentral:lncRNA from 1 species
GAGAAAACAUGUCCUGUACUUUACAACAAUGAAGCAUGGCAGGUAAAUUUUAAAGCAGUAAAGGCACCAAAAACACAGCUGCUAAAUAAAAUUCAAUUUUAAUCAAAGAUACUUAUGUUUAGGAAGCCAUUUAGAGGCAAAGGAGACGCCUGCCAUUUCUUCAUUUAUUUUAAAUGUAUUAGGAGUUAAUUCAGUGGGCCAAAAUUUCCAGAAGCACUGUAAUAAUGUGCUCUAUUACAACAAAAUGACCACAGAACACAGCAUAAAAAUCAUAGAAGUGGAGAAGUGCAUUCAAUGGAUGAUAGAAGAGGAAGUGAAUGAAUGGACCUCCUUUGGACAGAAACUCCUGAAGAAACAUAGAGGCAGAAGCAGGGACAGAAACAAAGGGCCCAUUUUAUGAUUAUGGAGACUACACUUGGGGUAAGAACAAGUAAAAAAGGUAUUAUUUUAAUAAGACGUAAUUAUGUGACUUGUGUAUUUUUAAAAGUAGAAAUGUGAAAUACCUGCCAUCUUCUGAAACUCAAUAGUUACAGUAACAGCUUCUUAGAAGCACUAAAAAUCUCAUUGAUGCCAGCAACUCAAGCAACCUUUUGAGGUAUUAUGGUAUAGAAAAAGAUGACUGUGGUAACUUCAACAGUGUGAACUAUAAAAAACUCACGUAAGGGUUCUUGAAAGAUGUUUAUAAUAGAAAUGCAUUUUAUAGCCUAUCAUUUAAGAUAUUCACAAAAGUUAUUGAUGUUAUAGUUUUAUAGUCAGAUGGAAAUUACCAGAAGAUUUAGUUUGUGAAUCUCUAACAGUAAAAUACACACAGUGCCUGAACUUUAAAUGUGACUUUGCAAUAGCAAUAUCAUCUGCUACUUGUUAGCAAAGCUAAUGGAAAUAUAAAAGUUUAUUUUUUCAUAGACAUGAUGAGGAAAAAAAAAUCUUUAGAAAGGCUGUGAAACUUAAUUACUCUAUGAGCUACUUAUCAUGUCUGAGUUAAACCAUUUCAAUUCCUAUUUUCAUGAUUAGUAGGAUAUUCA